UGUGGAUUCAAAGAGAGUUCUGAGAGCAUUGGAUGGAUGAUAUUGCAAUCACUUCACAAUGCUUGUGCGGAUCAGAGCAACUGCUAGACUUGCGAUAUUUCCAUUUAUUUUUAUCAUCGGGAAAUGUCUCUUGGGUGAUUUCUCCCUCACUGUACAUGUUGAUCCUUUGGUUCCCUUGGUUGGGCAAGGUCUGAUGUUGUCCUGCCACCUCAUAGGCCAGGUCCCCGCUAACUGUCAAGUGCAUUGGUAUAAAUGGGAAAGGAGCAAAAAUAUGACAUUAUAUGUUUACAAUAGCACAGCAAAUGGGGCCGAGCUGAGCAGGGAAUGGCACCAGCACAGGAACGGUGCCCCCAAAGGAUGGUAUAAGAAUGGAGUUGUUAGGGUGAAAUUCUUUCAUGUGCACAUAGAAGACACAGGACGGUAUGUGUGUGCAGUGACAGGUGAUGGUGUCUAUCAAGAAGCUGUUACCCAUGUGACUGUUGCAGGUAAGCAUGGAGAUGUUAAUAUAGAAGAGUUGCUGGCAGUGAACUACUCAGAGUAGUUAUUGAUGGUUCAUAAUGCUGCUGGAAGGGCAUAACAAGAAGGGUUUUGAAGGGGUCUGUCUUGGGACCGGUUCUGUUCAAUACCUUCAUCAAUUAAUUAAAUGAUGGA